rnacentral:misc_RNA from 1 species
GUGUACACGUGAAGACGCACGCGCACAUGUUUCUCCGGAUUCGUGGCAAGGGCGCUUGCCCAGAGAACUCGCAGGCGUUGGCGAUGCACAUUCGCGGCUUUCGACACACGCACAGCCCGCCGCCCUCGGAUUCCUACUACUCGGUGCUGCUCCUGCCACCGAGCUCGGAGUCCGCGUCGUCGGCCGUGGAUGCGGCAACGAGCACGAAAACGCUUGCCGAACGACCCACAAGAGCGAUGCAGCCGUUCCGCUUCGCGCUUUUCCCGGUGGGCAUUCAGGCGGCGACCGACACAGCGGCGCAGGCGCAGUCUAUCAAACAGUCGAAGGCAACGAACUCCUCUGGCGAGGCAGGCGGCGACGCAACAACAGCAGCAGCUGCGCCGACGCUCUCGCCUCUGGAGACAAUCGAUAAAGAGGCGGCCUGCAUGCUGUGGAGGGAGACGUGGAACUUAUACGACAUUCUUUACGACGAGGUGCCGCUGUUGCCGUGGGCCGAGGCGGCCGGCGAUGAGGCGGCGGCGGCCUUGGUGGAGACAGUGGAGCGGGAGCUUCGCGAGCUCGCCUCGUCUGACGCGACGGCGGCAACGGCGACAGAGUUGCACUCGCUGGCUUCGUUGUCGGACAAGACGGACGACUUCAUGCUCGCCUCAGCUCGCAUGGGUAACCGCCGAGUGGUGGUGUGCUCGCACUACUAUUCCUCUGCCGCCCUGCCGAGGAAUUCCUUUGACGGCAUGGGGAGGCACUGUGCCUCGGAAUCAGCGGCGCCACAGUCGGCAACGUCUCCCGUCUCGAUGGAGGGGCCUGUGGUGGUUCUAGACCUUGCCGACUUACCGAUUGCGCAAGCCGGCGGCAAGACAAUGGUGAACAUCGCCUGGUACACCGCGUUCGCCGCGAUGCAGCCGGACAGUGUGCUGCUCCACUGUCGUGCUGUGGUGGUGCGCCUCCCGUACACGUCGGUUCCGACGUAUAUGCAAGCUUGUAGUCGCUGCGUCUCACCGACCUCGUCUGCAGCAGCGGCGCCGACCAUGGCGGACGCUUUCCGCGAAAUGGUCGAUUUCAUUGGCGAGCACAUGACCGCCGUUUAUCAAGGGAUGUUACUGGCGUUGCAAGCCACAUCACCUGAGCUGGCAGCGAAGCGCACGGCGGCACCACCGGUGGUGGUGGUUGGCAGCACACUGGCGGCGCUCAGCGGCUGCCUGGGCUGUUUGCUUGGCAUCUCUGCCUCACCGAACAUCGAUAAGUCCGAUCCUGUAAGGGUCGUUGUCCUCUACGGCGACCAUCUCGGCACGGCAGCUGCGGGCAGCACUGGCACCAGCGGCGAGCACGAUGCCGCCGGGGCCUGCAGCGCACACAUGCUGACGCAAUACAAGUCCGUUGCUGAGGCCUGCAACUGCCCGGUGGCCUUCGAGACAGUGCGGGUUCCACUGAAGGCGUUGCUCGACGGCGAGGAAGAGUCGUGGGACGAGUACACACUGCGAGAGAGAGGCCGGCUGAACUUCUGCCCGUGCUGUGGUGACUGCUGUAGCGACAACAAAAACCACGCCGACGGGCACGCCCAUGUUCACGGCCAUGAGGAUGACUACUAGAGAGAGUGGGGCGGGCAAUUCGUUGGCCCUGUUGCAGUGUGGAGAAGGCACUCGUAGCGCGUAGCUGCUUGUGUUUGUGCGUGUGUGUGCGCGUGCCUUUUCCGGCGUCGUGGUCGCGUUCGAGGCUAGACGACAACGUCUUCAGCUGAGAGGUGCACUUCACUCGCACGGUGCGCAUCGGACCAGCUGACUGCUCUCACGCUUCCUCUCUGAGUAAAGCUUCUUCAUGCUGGCUCGCCGACGGAUCGCACUCAAGCCAUGCGCGCACACAUGAGCAGCCGCAGGCGCACCGAGCUGAAGGUUGGUUUCUUCACGUGUGUGCUAUCGUGUGGGGAUGCCGUCCAUACCGCCAUCGAGCGCGGCCGCUCGCCUCGACUCACUCCCUGUUCAUUGCGUUCUACCUAAUCUUGCGCGCUUCUCAAGGUGUGUGCGUGUCUGUGAGAUUAUGGCACCGCCCUUUCUCCUUUUUCAUGUGGGGCCCGCGGCUCGACACGGCAGCGCCGCCACGCCCGCGUGACGCACACGAAGAACAAUCACUCGCGUGGCCCUCUCAACGCCCCCCUUCGCCUAAGGCACCAGCACGUGUGACACUAUUUCAGCCUUCCCCAUCUUUAUUCCCGCAUCACUUCGCCACGCGCUCACUGCAAGCUGAAAAGACGGCGUGCUCGCUGCCGACGCGCUCACAUACGCAGGAAUGAUCCAGCCAAGUUUCUUGUCGUGUGCCACGCCAGUUCGCGAACCCACCUCGCUCUCUCGCUCUCUCUGUGCGUGUGUGUGUGUGCGCUCUGCUUCUCCCGCAGAGGAUAUGCGA